rnacentral:rRNA from 1 species
CCCAAACUUGGGCAUGUGAUACCUUUUCGGAAAGGCCCAAAGACAGCCCUCCGAACGAAAGAAGCAGGACCAAUGGAAUGUUUCCAUUGACUUUUUGUCGACCCCAAAUUUUGACCUUUAACUACUUUUUCGGGCAUUUUUGUGAUUUGGGCUAUAUUACGGACCCAAAAUUACUUGUUUCAAGCAUUUCUUUUCGAAUUUUUUUAUGCAUCAAAGGCUUCGUUAAGACUAGAUGGGGUAUCCCUACAUAGCGGGUGGGACCCACGGCGAAUGGUUCAUUCAAGUUCUUCAAAAAAGAAUAUAUAAGAUUGCAUUGCAUAUACUAACGGAUGCGAUCAUACCAGCACUAAUGCACCGGAUCCCAUCAGAACUCCGCAGUUAAGCGUGCUUGGGCGAGAGUAGUACUAGGAUGGGUGACCACCCGGGAAGUCCUCGUGUUGCAUCCCUCUUUUAUGUUUAACCUUUUUUUUUUUGGUUAAAACUUUAUGACUCCAUAACUUGUACACCGA